rnacentral:rRNA from 1 species
UACGUAGGGGGCUAGCGUUGUCCGGAAUCAUUGGGCGUAAAGAGCGUGUAGGCGGUCCGGUAAGUCCGCUGUGAAAGUCGGGGGCUCAACCCUCGAAUGCCGGUGGAUACUGUCGGGCUAGAGUGCGGAAGAGGCGAGUGGAAUUCCUGGUGUAGCGGUGAAAUGCGCAGAUAUCAGGAGGAACACCGGUGGCGAAGGCGGUUCUCUGGGCAUUACCUGACGCUGAGGAGCGAAAGUGUGGGGAGGCGAACAGG